UCAGCUCUGUCUGUUUAUUGGCAGUGGCUGGCCUCUGGACUUUUGUUGGAUUGGCGGUGGUAGUGCUGCUGAUGAGGCCUCCAAAUUUCGCCCAUUAUGCCUCAAGAGAGUUGCAGGAGUGGUGAGGCAGCUGCUGGAGGGGCAGCUCUGUCGGUUUAAUGGCGGGUGGCAUUGGCAUUAAACUUCUGCUAUUUGGCGCAGUCAGUACUCGCCGUAAAAUCCGUCG